ACAAGAUGAAUGCAAACACGACGACCAAUCACAAACGCCAGGGGGCGUGUCUUACAUUCCGCUGUUCUAACUGUUUACUUCCGUCAAUACUCAAAGAAAAGCAGAAAAUUAUCAGCAUAACAAAGGAACCGCUAUCUCUGGAACAGGUGGAAGAAGAUGCCGUUCUUGGGCCAAGACUGGAGGUCACCAGGCUGGAGUUGGAUCAAAACUGAGGAUGGAUGGAAGCGCUUUGAAUACUUCGGCCACAAUUUGGGAGAUAAUAUCAAUGAAUUUGGCUUGGAAGAGUUAGACAAUGACAACAAGGAAAACAUCUAUGUGGGAGAUGUCUGUGAAGUAGCUGCCGAGAAGAGAAAAAAGGACUUUUUCAACAACAACACAAAAUCAGAAUUUUUGUUCCAGGAGAGAUGGAUCUACGUUCAGAAGGAGAGUACUAGAGAGAGACAUGGGUACUGCACACUGGGUGAGGCCUUUAAUCGUCUGGACUUUUCCAGUGCCAUUCAGGAUGUGCGGCGAUUCAACUAUGUGGUCAAACUACUGCAGUUGAUUGCUAAGUCCCAGCUGACGUCUUUGAGCGGAGCUGCUCAGAAAAACUAUUUUAAUGUCCUGGAGAAGAUCGUGAGGAAAGUUCUGGAUGACCAUCAGAACCCGCGAUUGAUCAAGGCUUUGCUGGACGAUCUUAGCUCCACCCUCUGCAUCCUCAUGCGAGAGGUCGGGAAGUCUGUGCUGGUUGGCAACAUCAACAUUUGGGUCUGCCGUUUAGAAACUAUCCUAAACUGGCAGCAGCAGCUCAACAAUUUACAAAUUCCAAAGCAAGUUUCAAAUGGGAUGACACUGAGUGACCUUCCUCUGCACAUGCAAAGCAACAUCCUGAACAAGUUUACUGAUGCUUGUGACAUCAUUAACCUGGGACAAGCCACACCAACAUUGCACAUGCUCAGCGAGGACCGGCAACUGUGGAAGAAACUGUGCCAGUUUCAUUUUGCUGAGAAACAGUUCUGCAGGCACUUGAUUCUAUCAGAGAAGGGCCAUGUGGACUGGAAGCUGAUGUUCUUCACACUUCAGAAAUACUACCCCCAGAAAGAACAGUAUGGAGACACUCUGCAGUUUUGCAAGCACUGUAGCAUCCUCUUCUGGAAUGAUAGACACCUGGCUUUGCUCUUUAAGAAACUAGGAAUUUCCAGCUUUCUGCUUGGAAAAGUGCAAUUAAACACCACUUGAAGCCAUUCAUCCAACUUAGAAACUCGUGUGGAAAUCCUCUACUCCAAUUUCACCAAGAUGCCAGUGCAUAAUGUCACACAAACAUGUCGGUACCCAGGACUCAGGACAUCCUUGCACAGCUAACGAUCCUGACAUCUGCCUCACCCCCGUCUCUCCACAACAUUUCAUAGACCUCUUCAAGUUCUGAAAUUCAGAAUGUUCUUGGACCUCUCACCCUGUCCUCGGGAACACCUGCAAACAACACCUCUAACCAAGAUUUUGAACCUGAUAAAACAUUCUCCUAACCCAUCUCCUUUUUUUCUCUCUGGGCUCCAGACUAGCCUGUCGUCUCCUCUAUUUUCCUCUGUUAUGUUUCUUGGACUGCCAUUCUGUGAUUAAAAAGUGGGAGAGUUGGAACUUUUGACAUUAUAAUGAAUGAAUUCAUUUUCUUUUUCCUCUCCUAAACUUUAAGGGCUCAUAGAAAAGAUGUCACGAUAUUAGUGUUUCUUUCGUGUUGUCCUAUUUUUUGUUUCGUUAUUUUAUUCUCAGAGCAUAAAAGAGGCAGGAGAUAGGAAGGAUUGUUUGUCUAUAAUAGACAAUAGCAAAACAAACUUGCUUUCGUGAGAGAUGUGUUGAAAUGAAAAAGCAUGGGAGAUCCUAAGGGAAGGCUAUCUUGUCAUAUAUAUAUACAGUACUGUGCAAAAGUCUCAGGCACAUAAGAUGUUUCACAAAAGCAUUUGUCUUAAGAUGGUUAUUUAUAUCUUCAACUUUAGCGUGUCAAUAGGAAUUAUAAAUGUUAGACUCCCAAACAUUACUUUUGCAAAUAGAAAAGAUUAGAAUAGAAGAACAGAGAGCCCUGCAACAGAUGUCAUGGCCCCCACAGAGCCCCCCACUGAACAUCGAGUCAGUCUGAGAUUACAUAAAGAGACAGAAGCAAUUUAGACAGCCGAAGUAGAUAGAAGAAUUGUGGCAAUUUCCCCAAGAAGCUUGGAACAUCCUAUCUGCCAACAACCAAGAAAAACUGUGUUCAGGUGUACCUAGGAGAUUUGUUGCUGUUUUAAAGGCAUGGGUGGUCACACCGAAUAUUGACUUAGCUUUUUUAUGUUUACUGGGCUUUGUAUGAUAAUUGAUAAAUGAAAACUAUUUAUGGCAUUAUUUUUGAAGACAUCCUCACUAUGCAGCAUUUUUCACAGGUGCCUAAAACUUUUGCACAGUACUGUAUAUAUGUAUUUUUGUUUCUGAAGCAAUGGAAUGCAUGUCCAAAGUAGUUGUAGUUCAAUGUUUACGUGAGUUUUCGUACUGUUUUGUUGUGCUGUGCGUACAUAAUUGAUGCGUCAACACUAAAGUGUACAUUUGCAUUGCAUUUGCUACAAGAAAAGACUUUUUUACGAUACACUUUUGUCAAAUCUGAAAAAUGUAAUGUAAGCUUUGCUAUUUAUGAACAAAUGUAUUUUAUAUCCUUUUUCUGAAAUUUGUAAUAUUCCUGUAACAUUUCAGUAAUAUAAAUGUCUUUGAAAUUGCUGAACUGUAGGAAGUGUUUGGUACUAUCAAACAUUUGCAAAAAAAAACAAAAAAACAUGAUUACCUAAAAUAAUUAAAACAUUAUG